rnacentral:rRNA from 1 species
UACGUAGGGGGCUAGCGUUGUCCGGAAUCAUUGGGCGUAAAGAGCGUGUAGGCGGCCCGGUAAGUCCGCUGUGAAAGCCCCGGGCUUAACCUGGGAAUGGCAUUGGAAACUGGCUCGCUGGAGUGUGGCAGAGGGGGGUGGAAUUCCGCGUGUAGCAGUGAAAUGCGUAGAGAUGCGGAGGAACACCGAUGGCGAAGGCAGCCCCCUGGGCUAACACUGACGCUCAGGCACGAAAGCGUGGGGAGCAAACAGG